rnacentral:rRNA from 1 species
AACGAACGUUGGCGGCAGGCUUAACACAUGCAAGUCGAACGAGAUCUUCGGAUCUAGUGGCAGACGGGUGAGGAACACGUGGGAACAUCCCUUUCAGUUCGGAAUAACGUUGGGAAACUAACGCUAAUACCGGAUACGUCCUUCGGGAGAAAGAUUUAUCGCUGAAAGAUUGGCCCGCGUCUGAUUAGCUAGUUGGUGAGGUAACGGCUCACCAAGGCUACGAUCAGUAGCUGAUCUGAGAGGAUGAUCAGCCACAUUGGGACUGAGAAACGGCCCCAACUCCUACGGGAGGCAGCAGUGGGGAAUAUUGGACAAUGGGCGCAAGCCUGAUCCAGCCAUGCCGCGUGAGUGAUGACGGCCUUCGGGUUGUAAAGCUCUUUUGUCCGGGAAGAUAAUGACUGUACCGGAAGAAUAAGCCCCGGCAAACUUCGUGCCAGCCGCCGCCGCGG